CUACGUGCCAGCAGCCGCGGUAAUACGUAGGGUGCGAGCGUUGUCCGGAAUUACUGGGCGUAAAGAGCUCGUAGGUGGUUUGUUGCGUCGUCUGUGAAAUUCCGGGGCUUAACUUCGGGGUGGCAGGCGAUACGGGCAUAACUAGAGUGCUGUAGGGGAGACUGGAAUUCCUGGUGUAGCGGUGGAAUGCGCAGAUAUCAGGAGGAACACCGAUGGCGAAGGCAGGUCUCUGGGCAGUAACUGACGCUGAGGAGCGAAAGCAUGGGGAGCGAACAGGAUUAGAUACCCUGGUAGUCCAUGCUGUAAACGGUGGGCGUUAGGUGUGGGGACCGGUUUGGUUUCUGUGCCGUAGCUAACGCAUUAAGCGCCCCGCCUGGGGAGUACGGCCGCAAGGCUAAAACUCAAAGGAAUUGACGGGGGCCCGCACAAGCGGCGGAGCAUGUGGAUUAAUUCGAUGCAACGCGAAGAACCUUACCUGGGUUUGACAUGCACCAGACGGUUGUAGAGAUACGUACCUCCCU
rnacentral:rRNA from 1 species